rnacentral:rRNA from 1 species
GAUGAACGCNGGCGGCGUGCCUAAUACAUGCAAGUAGAACGCUGAAGCUUGGUGCUUGCACCGAGCGGAUGAGUUGCGAACGGGUGAGUAACGCGUAGGUAACCUGCCUCUUAGCGGGGGAUAACUAUUGGAAACGAUAGCUAAUACCGCAUAAAAGUCGACAUUGCAUGAUGUUGACUUGAAAGGUGCAAUUGCAUCACUAAGAGAUGGACCUGCGUUGUAUUAGCUAGUUGGUGAGGUAACGGCUCACCAAGGCAACGAUACAUAGCCGACCUGAGAGGGUGAUCGGCCACACUGGGACUGAGACACGACCCAGACUCCUACGGGAGGCAGCAGUAGGGAAUCUUCGGCAAUGGGGGCAACCCUGACCGAGCAACGCCGCGUGAGUGAAGAAGGUUUUCGGAUCGUAAANCU